rnacentral:hammerhead_ribozyme from 1 species
UCACUUCUGAAGAGUCCCAUACUAGGACGAAACGGUCGUCCAAUGA